rnacentral:rRNA from 1 species
UGCUGACGAGUGGCGAACGGGUGAGUAAUAUAUCGGAACGUGCCCAGUCGUGGGGGAUAACGCAGCGAAAGCUGUGCUAAUACCGCAUACGAUCUACGGAUGAAAGCGGGGGACCUUCGGGCCUCGCGCGAUUGGAGCGGCCGAUGUUAGAUUAGGUAGUUGGUGAGGUAAAGGCUCACCAAGCCUACGAUCUAUAGCUGGUCUGAGAGGACGACCAGCCACACUGGGACUGAGAUACGGCCCAGACUCC